rnacentral:lncRNA from 1 species
UUGGGUACGUUUUUCAUCUGGCCGUGAAAAUACUGCCCCUAGCCCCAACAGGUUUUAAGGUAGGGAUGUCCCAAGGAUCCCGGAUAGCAUUGACCAUUGUGCAUUCUUCUGUCUCUUUUUUACAUAGCAAGUGAUAGGUUCUGACUUCUGAACUUGAAAAUAUGAAAUAUCCUUAUUUAUGUCACUGUUUGAGAGAAGGGGAUGUAGAACGUUUACAUUCUGUCAGAAUGUGUUAUUGUUAGAUGUCAGGGAUCCUAUGGAAGGAGAAGGGCCACAGUCUGGUACAAGUCAACAGGACAGCCGUGAGGUGGGGAGGAGAAGGGCCACAGUCUGGAACAAGUCAACAGGACAGCCGUGAGGUGGGGAGGAGAAGGGCCACAGUCUGGAACAAGUCAACAGGACAGCCGUGAGGUGGGGAGGAGAAGGGCCACAGUCUGGAACAAGUCAACAUGACAGCUGUGAGGUGGGGAGGAGAAGGGCCACAGUCUGGAACAAGUCAACAGGACAGCCGUGAGGUGGGGAGGAGAAGGGCCACAGUCUGGAACAAGUCAACAGGACAGCCGUGAGGUGGGGAGGAGAAGGGCCACAGUCUGGAACAAGUCAACAGGACAGCUGUGAGGUGGGGAGGAGAAGGGCCACAGUCUGGUACAAGUCAACAGGACAGCCGUGAGGUGGGGAGGAGAAGGGC